rnacentral:tRNA from 1 species
ACCUGGCUGGCUCAGUCAGUAGAGCACGCAACUAUUGAUCUUGGGUUGUGAGUUCAAACCCCACGUUGGGUG